GUGAGGAAGAGAGAGGCAGGGAAGAAGGAAGUAGCAAGGGAGAAGAGAGGACCCUGCUGGCCAAGUGCUUUUGUUGGAAGUUGGGGAACACUACAUAUCAUAAGGCUUGGGGGACCUUCCCUGAUGCUUUUGAAUGUCUCUAGACUAGAACAGUCCGGAGAAAGCAGAAAGGUUAACUCGUGGCCCGGACAGAAGGGCACGAUCACACUGGAGUCCCCGUGUGCUGGAAGUUCCGCAUACCUAUGAGGUACUCUCAGCCCAUUUCACACUGGCGGGCAGUUAGGCUCGAGGUGGGUCUGUGGGCGAUCGAAGGCUGCGAUGCCUGCAAAGUUGCGGUCCCCUGCCCAGGUACUUAGCAGUUAUCACGAACAUGCAGAGCCGCAUAGCAGUCUUCAAAUACUGGAACUGAACCUGCGUACUGCCGAAGAAGGUCCACCUGAUCUUUCUCCGCGUGGUUUUUAGAGUAAUCUUCAAAGUGGAGAGGAACUUGGAUGCAAAGAGGUGACAGAACCCUGCUACUCAUCUUUGAGGAACACUACUUGGCUGUCCUGGCAAAGCAGUAGCUGAAGACUGGUCUCAGAUACGCUUCUAAAAUUUAAAUUAUCUUUUAA